rnacentral:rRNA from 1 species
GGUUCGUAGUGACUGCGGAGAUCAUUA